GAUGAAGAACGCAGCGAAAUGCGAUACGUAAUGUGAAUUGCAGAAUUCAGUGAAUCAUCGAGUCUUUGAACGCACAUUGCGCCCCCUGGUAUUCCGGGGGGCAUGCCUGUCCGAGCGUCAUUGCUGCCCUCAAGCACGGCUUGUGUGUUGGACCUCCGUCCUCCUCCCGGGGGACGGGCCCGAAAGGCAGCGGCGGCACCGCGUCCGGUCCUCGAGCGUAUGGGGCUUCGUCACCCGCUCUUGUAGGCCCGGCCGGCGCUUGCCGACACAUCAAUCUUUUUUCCAGGUUGACCUCGGAUCAGGUAGGGAUACCCGCUGAACUUAAGCAUAUCAAUAAGCGGAGGA
rnacentral:misc_RNA from 1 species